UAGGGAAUCUUCGGCAAUGGACGAAAGUCUGACCGAGCAACGCCGCGUGAGUGAAGAAGGAUUUCGGAUCGUAAAACUCUGUUGUUAGAGAAGAACAAGGACGUUAGUAACUGAACGUCCCCUGACGGUAUCUAACCAGAAAGCCACGGCUAACUACGUGCCAGCAGCCGCGGUAAUACGUAGGUGGCAAGCGUUGUCCGGAUUUAUUGGGCGUAAAGCGAGCGGAGGCGGUUUCUUAAGUCUGAUGUGAACGCCCCCGGCUCAACCGGGGAGGGUCAUUGGAAACUGGGAGACUUGAGUGCAGAAGAGGGGAGUGGAAUUCCAUGUGUAGCGGUGAAAUGCGUAGAUAUAUGGAGGAACACCAGUGGCGAAGGCGGCUCUCUGGUCUGUAACUGACGCUGAGGCUCGAAAGCGUGGGGAGCAAACAGG
rnacentral:rRNA from 1 species